rnacentral:rRNA from 1 species
CAGCCGCCGCGGUAAUACGUAGGUGGCAAGUGUUGUCCGGAAUUAUUGGGCGUAAAGGGCUCGCAGGCGGUUUCUUAAGUCUGAUGUGAAAGCCCCCGGCUCAACCGGGGAGGGUCAUUGGAAACUGGGAAACUUGAGUGCAGAAGAGGAGAGUGGAAUUCCACGUGUAGCGGUGAAAUGCGUAGAGAUGUGGAGGAACACCAGUGGCGAAGGCGACUCUCUGGUCUGUAACUGACGCUGAGGAGCGAAAGCGUGGGGAGCGAACAGGAUUAGAUACCCCCGUAGUCCCUGUCUCUUAUAC